rnacentral:rRNA from 1 species
GACGAACGCUGGCGGCGUGCUUAACACAUGCGAGUCGAACGGAAAGGCCCUGCUUUUGUGGGGUGCUCGAGUGGCGAACGGGUGAGUAACACGUGAGUAACCUGCCCUUGACUUUGGGAUAACUUCCGGAAACUGGGGCUAAUACCGGAUAGGAGCUCCUGCUGCAUGGUGGGGGUUGGAAAGUUUCGGCGGUUGGGGAUGGACUCGCGGCUUAUCAGCUUGUUGGUGGGGUAGUGGCUUACCAAGGCUUUGACGGGUAGCCGGCCUGAGAGGGUGACCGGCCACAUUGGGACUGAGAUACGGCCCAGACUCCUACGGGAGGCAGCAGUGGGGAAUAUUGCACAAUGGGCGGAAGCCUGAUGCAGCAACGCCGCGUGCGGGAUGACGGCCUUCGGGUUGUAAACCGCUUUCGCCUGUGACGAAGCGUGAGUGACGGUAAUGGGUAAAGAAGCACCGGCUAACUACGUG